rnacentral:rRNA from 1 species
GACGAACGCUGGCGGCGUGCCUAAUACAUGCAAGUCGAGCGGACAGACGGGAGCUUGCUCCCUGAUGUUAGCGGCGGACGGGUGAGUAACACGUGGGUAACCUGCCUGUAAGACUGGGAUAACUCCGGGAAACCGGGGCUAAUACCGGAUGGUUGUCUGAACCGCAUGGUUCAGACAUAAAAGGUGGCUUCGGCUACCACUUACAGAUGGACCCGCGGCGCAUUAGCUAGUUGGUGAGGUAACGGCUCACCAAGGCAACGAUGCGUAGCCGACCUGAGAGGGUGAACGGCCACACUGGGACUGAGACACGGCCCAGACUCCUACGGGAGGCAGCAGUAGGGAAUCUUCCGCAAUGGACGAAAGUCUGACGGAGCAACGCCGCGUGAGUGAUGAAGGUUUUCGGAUCGUAAAGCUCUGUUGUUAGGGAAGAACAAGUGCCGUUCAAAUAGGGCGGCACCUUGACGGUACCUAACCAGAAAGCCACGGCUAACUACGUG